UUGAUUUCUUCAGGAGGUAAAUAGAUUGAGGACGAUAUCUUGAGACAAUUGCAUAAGCCAUUCCAUCUUCCGGGGCUUAAUCCUCUCUAUCUGUUUUUUGAUACCCAGAUCUUGAAUUUUUCCAAUACUUUUGUUUGUAGUUUUCAAAAGAUCUAACCAAUCUGCUACGACUCCUUUGACUGCGACCAUCUACAUUCAAAAAAAAAAAACUACUUAUCAAAUCUGAAAAACUUAUAAAAUUUUAUAAAUUAAAAAAAAUUAUUGAAAAUUUACCUUUUCCUCUCAUGCUUUUUAAAGGCUACAGAAUUUUGGUUGUUGGUCUCUACUCUCUUUUCACCACGUUCGCUCGUCCGAUUUUU
rnacentral:lncRNA from 1 species